GAAUAAUUUAGUAGGGAAACUGGGGAAGGGCACAGGAGUUGAACAGCAUAUAAGUCAAAUUCCUGUGAUAUAUACCUGUAGAAAUGAUAUUGUCCGUCUCCCACACAAAUCUCUUCUCUAACCUCACUUAAUAAUUUCCAUCUAGAUUUUAUUUUUUUUCUUUUUCUCUCUCAUCUCUUUCAAUGUCUGCGUCACAGCUACUCACACCAACACUGUAAUCCAUCAUAUCAUCGCAAAAGCUAUUGAUUUCGCCGGUGGGUUAUUCCGGGGAACGGGUUGUUUUCAGCUUCUCUCACUUCCUUUGUUGUUUCCUUUUCAAUAUGUUAAUCCUGUUUGUACCUACGUAACUAUUAUCUUAUUUAAUUUUCUUGGAUUCUUUUUCUGUUUUUUUUUUUUUUGUUUUAAAGAAAAAGUCCUUUUCUUGGUUUGGCUUAUCAUCGAGAUCGGAUUACGUUAGUCUCCGGGAUCUGAUAUUAGUACAUGGGUUCCUUAUUAACGGCAGUUUUCGCCGGAAUCGCAUCGGUGAAGCGAGAUCCGUAUCCUCCAAACCAUUGAAGACUGCGGGAGAAAAUGAUCUAGGAAAUUUCUUUUCAUGUUUAUCUUCAUCGAUUUCUUGAUUUAUUGUCUGCUUAUGUUUUUUUUGAAUCGUAUCCAUGACUUAGAAGAAGGAAAAUACUGCAGACCUAGGAGUUUGGUAUAGUGCAUGAGGUGAUGGACACAGUCGUUAGCUGAUGCAGCAUCAUCAAGAUUCACACCCAAUGGAAGGGCAGUGAUGCAAUCUCUGCCAAAGAUUUUGAGAUGAGAAUCUUGAUGAUGCUGCAUUCGCAGUGAACGACUAAACCAGGAACAUGGUCUGCCACUACUCUCCAAUAUCUCCACUGGAGCAUAUUAUAUGUUGAUCCAAUUCUUUCCCCACGACCUCUCCAUUCUUUAGAGUUCUUGCCAUGAGAAUCCAUGUGGGAAUUUCAUUUUCAGUCGCAGACAACUCUAGUUACCAUCUCCAAGCUUGAAAUCAUGCAGUAAUUUGAGAUUGAGGAUGAACUGAAAUGGGUGUCUAUCAUCUGAUAAGUGAAGGGAUUGCAGGCUACCUCCGUUUGGUUGCUGAGAAAAUCGAGGACAAGCAAAGCAAACUUACAACUUCCAGUAAUGGGCAUGGGCAUGGACACUUGUUUGAAGUAUUGCCAUGGAUUUAACACUGUGGAUUGAGGUUGGAGCUCCUAGCCUUGUUGGGUUAAUGUUCAAGCUCUUUAGCACAUAUUUUUUUGUUGUAGAUUUAGGUGUGUAGAUCAUAGGAGACAUGUCUUGCUGCAGGUUGGUUCACUGAUACGUACUCUCAGAUACAAGCUUAGGGUACCCUAUUUUUCAAACGGCCAAUGAUGGUAGAACCGUGCCACAUUUUUACAAGCAUGUGAUUGGUUGCUUCCAGUACUUCUUAUCCAUUCCUCUUGUUUGGUAGAGAAAACCCAAACAAUGCUUUGAAAUAAAAAGAAAUCUGCCGUACACUUGAAGAUGAUGAAUGUUUUGUUAAUAGAGUACAAUUUAGCUUUGAAAAGAAAGGGAAAAAGGGAACCAGUAGAGGCCACAAAUGCAUCCACUUUCAGUACUUUCACAGCUAAAUACUAUGAUUAUGAAUUUUAGGCCGAUAUAUAUAGCUCUUAACUCAUGAGACCAAAAGGAAAUUAAUGGCAAGUGUAUGACUCGAUUUUGAUCUUGAGAUUGCAGUGGCUCUACUCAUUAACCACAUAUAUCCUCUUUGUCUUUUUGUUUUUUUUUUUCAUUUUGUGUUUAGAAUUUUUUUUUCCCAUGGAAAAAGACUACAGAAGCAAAACAACUACAAAUUCGAUCCAAAGAGGAGCACAUAAUCUUUAAAACCAAACUUUGUAAUAUCUUUAGAUGAAUUUAACCUCCAAAUGAUCUACUCUAUGGUAUAAAUAUCUUCCUUAUCUAAACCGAACUUAGUUUAUAUCACUCAUGUAGAGCUUGUACUAUACAUAUUUCUGUCAUAUGCAGUGUGAAAUGUUGUUAUUUUUCUUCUGUAUGUGUGUGGUCGGGGUGAUGGCUGGAUAAGACCUUACUAGGGUGAUGGCUGGAUAAAACCUUACUAGGAAACAAAGAAAUCAGAAGGAAACAUUUUCAUUUAAAGUUUAUAUGGUGAAAAUUUGAAAAACAAAGAAUUUGGUCUUGGACAUGUUAUGAAUGUGGGACUGAUAUUUAGUAAGAAACUAUUAUAGAUUAAGCUUUAUUUUGAGUUGAGAUUGAAGUUGGAAAUAACAUUAUUGUAGGAAUAAUAUUUUUUCUUGGAGAAUUAUAACCCUUUGAAAGUUAGAAUCCAAUAAUGGCAAAACAUGUUAGACGUCCUUUUCCAGGCCUACUGUGUUGCUUUGAGGAUCCUCCUAUAUGCAUGCUGGUGAAAAGAAUCUAGGAGAGAUCAUUGCUUGGAGAUUUCAUGGGCAUCUGAACCAACAACUUUCACUGAGGUAGGACUCUUGGGAUUUGCUUUGCCCCUUUUGUAUUAAUGUUUGAUCUGUGCAUAUCCCAUUAAUUUCCAGUCUUCUAAUGAUUCUGAUUAAGUGCGCAUGCCUAUCCCAAUAAAAAGAAAAAAACUAAUUCAUGUUCAUGGGUUUCAUGCAUAAUUUGUUGGUGGCCAUCAUGAUCUUCUUCUUCGUUUUGUUUAUCAUUGUUGUUAUCAUUAUAGGCAUGCAAGUGGAUGAGAAUUGUUGUAUCUCAGAAUCUGACCAAAUCUGUAGACUGUAGUACGACCUCCUCCUCUUCCACCUGAGUAAUAUUGAUGAUACCAAAAUAUUAAUCCAAAAGGAUUUUCAGUUUUGAGUAUGGGAACUGCUAAUCUGCUACCCAUGUAUUCUAUACAAAAUGAAGUGAAAUUAUCCCUAAAUUAAUAUUUUUAGUGAUCAAAAUGGCUUCUACUGUGACCUUUGUUUGUCCUUGAGAAUCUGCAGCUUGAUUAAAUGUGGUGUGGGUUGGAUAUUGAUCUUAUUGAAUAGCAGGUUGAACUGUAGGGACUUCCAUAUAUCACAUCUAGAAUACUUAAUCUGGAGGGAAUCUUUCACAUGAAAACAUAAGGAAGAAAGCAAGCAUGGCCAUGGUGUAAGUUCAUGAAAUGUAGAAGAGGAACAAAAACUGAUGGCAGAUAAUCACUUGGGCUUAGGUUACAAGAUACACUAUUGAUGGAUUAGAGUUCAAUAUGGAUCUUGGCAAGGAAAAUGCAAGAAUAGGAGAAGAAUAUAUACACGUGCUUUUCAUGGUUGCAUUUUGAAUUGAAUACAAUAAAAUACAAGAAAUGGACAUGGGCCCAUGGUGAUUGGGCCAGGAGCUUGGUGACAGAAUCAGAGGGCUCUGAAAUUAAUAUCGAAAGCAGGGCCGUGCCCAAUGAUCAUCAAGUCAUCUUCACGCCUUCCCAAAAUGGGGACCGUGACUUCUCCAAGUUACAUAAAUAUCCAUGCAUAAAAAAAUGUAAGGUUAAAAACAAACAUUUGAUGAUGCCAAAACAUGCAACCAUCAAUACCAAUAUUUUCUUGCUGAUUUUUUUGGACUAGUUCAAGCCAAGAAGAAACCCAGACAGUGGAAAUGCCGCCUCUAGUCUGCAGCAACCAUUCUGGGGUUGAACCGUUGAAGCCAAAUUUGCAAGGCAAAUCCCAUGGUUCCAGGAAUGAUGACGACACCAUUGCGAAUUGUGGUGGCAAGUACACAACUUGAUGUAGGUCAUGGCAGAGAGCCUGAAAGGAGUUGUUCAUCACCUUGAAGUCGGCAACUUGUCCAGAAGCUCUUAUCAGGGUGAAAGAAUGGUACAAGGUGGCAGACUUGAAGCUGAAAAUUCAAAAGCUUUGGGGGCAUUGAAAAGAAAAGGAAAAAUACUACUCUCAUUCGCCUUUCCAAGAAAAUAGAGAUGAUCAUCUUCUGUCUGCCUGUGAGGGUACGGAAGUUUUAAAAAAAUUUUGCAGUUGAUAGCCCUCUCGAAUGUACUUGCAGGAUGUGACUGGUAAGAAGUAAGAACUAAGUUCAAUUGCCCUCCUAAUAAAAAUGAUAUUACGGUGUAGUAUAAGUUGUUUACAAGGGUUAUUAGGACGAGAUUUACUUCCUACAAUUUCUUUUCGAACAACCUUUUAGUUUUCUCUCACUAUUUUCUAUUUUAAUCUUGUUGUUUAUACUUUAAUAUUUGGUUUAUAGAUAUAAUGGGACAAUUUUUUUGC